ACAAGAGCAAGACAGCAACCUCCCUGGCAUGGCUUCGUGAGCUGGUUGACGGCGGUGAAAGCUCGAGGAAAGGAUGGCAACGGCUCAUCGGGUUUGCCGAAGGACAAAUAUUGCUCGGAAAUUCAAUGGGAUUAUCGGGGCGGUGACUGGAUUCGGUCAAGAAAGACCUGCACUAAUAAAAAUUCAAACGAAAACAAAAUAACUGGAUCGGUGGAAGUCUGGGGCACGUCAAGGACUGCUGUGUUCACCGAAAAACCUGCGAAAAUUCAACCAAGAAUACAAAACCGGCAUUGGCUGCUCAUCAUAGACUCUGGAAAUCAUCGGGCGCCCUGGAUGUAGAGCUUGGGCGUAACCAGGAAAGCCGCACGGCACCGGGACCAUUGCUGAGCGAGGAACAGGGACUGAAGGAAACCUCCACCGACUGCUGAAUUCCGUAGACAAGUCGCGGUCUGGGAGCCGUGCCAGAUCUUGUGUUUCUCUCUAUCUCUCCACGUUGAGAAAUCGUGAAUUUUUUAUUCUUAGAUCCAAUCCUCCGUCCGUGUACUCUCCCUGUUCUUUCACGUGUCACUUACGAAUCACACUGAUGCACGGCAAUAGCUUCUCAGCUUCGUUGGGCAGCAGCAGAUGGCAGCAAGGACACCGACGGCGGUGACGAAGAUCGGUGAAAGCGUGGCCGUGAGGAUGUAUGACUGACCGUAGCCUCCCUCUCCUUCCUCUCUAUUCACGUGUAUUCUCUUGGCUGUGUUUUGAAAUUCUGAUUUGC
rnacentral:lncRNA from 1 species